UACGAAGGGGGCUAGCGUUGCUCGGAAUCACUGGGCGUAAAGCGCACGUAGGCGGCUUUUUAAGUCAGGGGUGAAAUCCUGGAGCUCAACUCCAGAACUGCCUUUGAUACUGGGAAGCUUGAGUCCGGGAGAGGUGAGUGGAACUCCGAGUGUAGAGGUGAAAUUCGUAGAUAUUCGGAAGAACACCAGUGGCGAAGGCGGCUCACUGGCACGGUACUGACGCUGAGGUGCGAAAGCGUGGGGAGCAAACAGG
rnacentral:rRNA from 1 species